rnacentral:rRNA from 1 species
GAUGAACGCUAGCGGCAGGCUUAACACAUGCAAGUCGAGGGGUAACAGAGGUAGCUUGCUACUUGCUGACGACCGGCGCACGGGUGCGUAACGCGUAUACAAUCUGCCUUAUACAGAGGGAUAGCCUUUAGAAAUGAAGAUUAAUACCUCAUGGUCUAUUAAUAUAGCAUUAUAUAAAUAGUAAAGCUUCGGCGGUAUAAGAUGAGUAUGCGUCCUAUUAGUUAGUUGGUAAGGUAACGGCUUACCAAGACUACGAUAGGUAGGGGCCCUGAGAGGGGGAUCCCCCACACUGGUACUGAGACACGGACCAGACUCCUACGGGAGGCAGCAGUGAGGAAUAUUGGACAAUGGAGGAAACUCUGAUCCAGCCAUGCCGCGUGCAGGAAGACGGCCCUAUGGGUUGUAAACUGCUUUUAUAUAGGAAGAAACCUUUUCACGUGUGAGAAGCUGACGGUACUAUAAGAAUAAGGACCGGCUAACUCCGUGCCAGCAGCCGCGGUAAUACGGAGGGUCCGAGCGUUAUCCGGAAUCAUUGGGUUUAAAGGGUCCGUAGGCGGGAAUCUAAGUCAGUGGUGAAAUCUUACAGCUCAACUGUAAAAUUGCCAUUGAUACUGGGUUUCUUGAAUUAGUGUGAAGUGAUUAGAAUGUGUAGUGUAGCGGUGAAAUGCAUAGAUAUUACACAGAAUACCAAUUGCGAAGGCAGAUCACUAACACUAUAUGACGCUGA